rnacentral:rRNA from 1 species
UUGCUACUACCGAUUGAAUGAUUCAGUGAGGUCUUCGGGACAUAUACCCGGAGCGGCCUUCGUGUUGUGCGGAAGAUGACCAAACUUGAUCAUUUUGAAGAAGUAAAUGU